CAUCAGCAAUGUUAUUGGCAGCCUGAAUCUGCUGGUACAGGACUAGUCCCCCGAAAAUAUCGGAUGCAAUGUGGAACAGGCCGUCCUCAGGGACCACCUUGUAGACCGGGAGCCCGUCCGAGGUUCCUGUUCCAUUGGCGCAGCGGCAGGGGAAGGGUAUUUUGACGGUCUGUUUGGCCUUGAUGGCGAGGGAGGGGAGUGUUGUUGGGGGAUAGUUGUUGGCGCCGAGGAAUGAUAGGAGGUUUUUGGAGAUUCCGAAGAGGGUUGUGAUGUUGGAGAUGGUGGUGUCGUUGGGGGAGACGUAGUCGAUGAGGGAGUUGCAUUUUGAUGAUGGCUUGCAGCUGAAGGGCUGUGCUUUUGUUGGUGGUGUGGUGGUG
rnacentral:lncRNA from 1 species